GUGGGGAAUCUUGCGCAAUGGGCGAAAGCCUGACGCAGCCAUGCCGCGUGGAUGAUGAAGGUCUUAGGAUUGUAAAAUCCUUUCACCGGUGAAGAUAAUGACUGUAGCCGGAGAAGAAGCCCCGGCUAACUUCGUGCCAGCAGCCGCGGUAAUACGAAGGGGGCUAGCGUUGCUCGGAUUUACUGGGCGUAAAGGGCGCGUAGGCGGACAUUUAAGUCAGGGGUGAAAUCCCGGGGCUCAACCUCGGAACUGCCUUUGAUACUGGGUGUCUUGAGGAUGAGAGAGGUGUGUGGAACUCCGAGUGUAGAGGUGAAAUUCGUAGAUAUUCGGAAGAACACCAGUGGCGAAGGCGACACACUGGCUCAUUACUGACGCUGAGGCGCGAAAGCGUGGGGAGCAAACAGGAUUAGAUACCCCGGUAGUCC
rnacentral:rRNA from 1 species